UUGAUUCCUGGAUUAUUAGGGUCUUUUUUAUUAUGAACAAGCAAUCUUGUAUGCUUAUUUUAGUGGUACUUUCGGGGCAGGCUGAAUUUUCCCGGGGCAGGAUGGGCAGCAAGUAAUUUUAUUUAUGGAGUGAUUUCUGAAUUAGUUGUUUUAUGAGUUCUAACUAAAAGGAGUGCCAGCAGUUGCGGUUAAACUUAGUGAAUAAGUAAUAAUUUUUAGUUAAUUAUUUAAUUUUCUCAUUUAGGUUUAUGGUUUAGUUUAAUUAGAGGGUGAAAUCUUGAUUUACUUUUUGGUUCUUGGGGUUUUGUAAAUAAUAAACUUUUCUUUAAACUAGGAUUAGAUACCCUAUUAUUAAGAGUGUAUUAAUAUUAUCUUAGUAGUUUUGGAAAUGUUCCUGAAAUUAAACUAAGUUGGCGGUAAUUUUCUUCCUUCUUAGAGGAACCUGUUCUUUAAGCGAUAUUCCACGGUUAAUUUUACUUUGAUUAUUAUGUUUGUAUACCUCUGUUUAUUUAAUGUUUUGGGAGAAUUACUUUAUUAUAUUUAUAUUAUAAGAAUCAGGUCUAGGUGCAGCUUAUAUUAAAGGAGUAAUGGGUUACAUUUAUAUUAAUAUUGGAUGUUAUUGGUAGUGAUUUUAACUUAAAUUGGAUUUAAAAGUAAUUUAUUUUUAAUUAUGUUUUUGAAUUAGUUCUGAAUUAUGUACAUAUCGCCCGUCAUUCUCUUUUAUUUAUGUGAGACAAGUCGUAACACAGUAAUUGUACUGGAAGGUGUAGUUGGUUUA
rnacentral:ncRNA from 1 species